rfam:Picea glauca, whole genome shotgun sequence.
UGGUGCGAUCAUACCAACGUUAAUGUAUUUGAUUUCAUCAGAAGAAUUAUGUAGUUAAAUGUGUUUAGGCUAGAGUAGUAGUGGGAUAGGUGACCUCUCAAGAAAUUCCAGUGUUACACCCU